UACGACGGCCAUACCACCCUGAACGCACCGUAUCUCCUCUGAUCUCGGAAGCCAAGCAGGGUCGGGCAUGGUUAAUAUUUGGAUGGGAGACUGCCUGGGAAUACCAGGUGCUAUAGGCU
ensembl:rRNA 5S_rRNA 5S ribosomal RNA